rnacentral:rRNA from 1 species
CGAUGCUUUGAGACCAACACUAAAGCACGAGAUCCCAUCAGAACUCCGAAGUUAAGCGUGCUUGUGCGACAGUAGUACUAGGAUGGGUGAC